ACUGCUCAGUAACACGUGGAUAACCUGCCCUGCGGUGGGAAAUAACCCCGGGAAACUGGGGAUAAUGUCCCAUAGGCUACAGAUGCUGGAAUGCUCUGUAGCUCAAAGAUUUAUCGCCACAGGAUGGGUCUGCGGCCGAUUAGGUAGUUGUUGGGGUAACGGCCCAACAAGCCUUUGAUCGGUACGGGUUGUGGGAGCAAGAGCCCGGAGAUGGAUUCUGAGACACGAAUCCAGGCCCUACGGGGCGCAGCAGGCGCGAAAACUUUACAAUGCGGGAAACCGUGAUAAGGGAACUCCGAGUGUCCGUAAAUGCGGACUGUCCGUAUGUUUAAAAAGCAUGCGAAGAAAGGGCCGGGCAAGACCGGUGCCAGCCGCCGCGGUAAUACCGGCGGCUCGAGUGGUGGCCACUAUUACUGGGCUUAAAGCGUUCGUAGCUGGGUUGUUAAGUUUCUUGGGAAAUCUACCGGCUUAACCGAUAGGCGUCCAAGGGAUACUGGCAAUCUAGGGACCGGGAGAGGUGAGGGGUACUUCAGGGGUAGGAGUGAAAUCCUGUAAUCCUUGGGGGACCACCUGUGGCGAAGGCGCCUCACCAGAACGGCUCCGACAGUGAGGGACGAAAGCUGGGGGAGCAAACCGGAUUAGAUACCCGGGUAGUCCCAGCCGUAAACGAUGCGCGUUAGGUGUAUCGAUGACCACGAGUCAUCGAGGUGCCGAAGGGAAACCGUGAAACGCGCCGCCUGGGAAGUACGGUCGCAAGGCUGAAACUUAAAGGAAUUGGCGGGGGAGCAC
rnacentral:rRNA from 1 species